rnacentral:rRNA from 1 species
GAUGAACGCUGGCGGCGUGCCUAAUACAUGCAAGUCGAGCGAACAGAUAAGGAGCUUGCUCCUCUGACUUUAGCGGCGGACGGGUGAGUAACACGUGGUUAACCUACCUAUAAGACUGGGAUAACUCCGGGAAACCGGAGCUAAUACCGGAUAAUAUAUUGAACCGCAUGGUUCUAUAGUGAAAGACGACUUUUCUGUCACUUAUAGAUGGAUCCGCGCCGUAUUAGCUAGUUGGUUAGGGAACGGCUUACCAAGGCAACGAUACGUAGCCGACCUGAGAGGGUGAUCAGCCACACUGGAUCUGAGACACGGUCCAGACUCCUACGGGAGGCAGCAGUAGGGAAUCUUCCGCAAUGGGCGAAAGCCUGACGGAGCAACGCCGCGUGAGUGAUGAAGGUCUUCGGAUCGUAAAACUCUGUUAUUAGGGAAGAACAAAUGAGUAAGUAACUGUGCGCGUCUUGACGGUACCUAAUCAGAAAGCCACGGCUAACUACGUG